UCACGGACUCAUCAGCUUCACCUCCCGAGCCAGGGCCUCAGGCUGCCAGGGCAUAGAUGGGAUUUUGGGAAUGAAUCCUGCCCCAUGAGGGUGGGCAGGCCCUGGCACAGGGUGCCCAGAACAGCUGGGGCUGCCCCUGGAUCCCUGGCAGUGCCCAAGGCCAGGCUGGACAUUGGGAGCUCCUGGGACAGUGGGAGGUGUCCCUGCCAUGGGAAUGGGACGAGUUUUAUCUCCCUUCCAACCCAAACCAUUCUCUGAUUCUACAAAGACAGAUCUUGGUGGUGUUGGUGUGAAAUUAGAGCCUAAUUGGGACCUAAUUAGAACCAAACACAGGGCAGGGAUGUUAAUUGCCAAGCGUGGCUUGGACAAUAAUUUUCCAGAAAGACCAAAUUUUCCCAAGAAAAAGCAGCUGAAAGAUUUCAUUGGCAUUUUUGUCCAGCUUAGAAGAGUGAUUUUAUAAAUUGUACAACGCUGUGCUCAUCUAUUUCCUUCAGAAUCGUGCCCCUCUUGGUGAUAAAACAUUAGGAAAAGUUCCCCAUUUUUUCCCUGAAGAACAUUUCCAUGGAAGAACAGACAAUGGAGGGAAUUUUAGUGACUGUGAUGGGUGUGGGAUGUGGGGACUUGGGUUAAUGCUGGGUUGGACUCCAAGGUCUUGGAGGGCUUUUCCAGCCUCACUGAUUCCAUGAUUUGGAUUCCCAGCAGGUCUCCCAGACUGCUCUUGCUGGGACCACUCCAUUUCAUUUCCUUCCUAUGGAUGGGGUUUGAUCCUGGCAGCAAAAUCCACGAGCAAAGACUGAGCAGCCCACAAGGUCCUUGCCAUGAAUCAGCUCUAUCCUUUUAUUUAAUUGAAAUGAAAAAGGAGAGGGGGUCUCAUAGCUCAGCUCUGCUGUGCCACCCUCACCCCUCGGUGCCUCCUGUGGAUUCCCACCGUGGGCUUGCACCUUCCAGCCUUGGAGUUCUCCUUCCCCCCUGGUUUUUUCACUUGUACAAAGCAAUAAAAUCAGAGUUUCAGGCACUGCUUGUGGCCCCAGAUGCUGUUUUUUCCUCCCAACCUGUUCCACAGGCUCAGGGAAGGGGGCAGAUCCUCCCCAGCGGGCACCCACUCACCCGUCCC
rnacentral:lncRNA from 1 species